rnacentral:rRNA from 1 species
CUCGAGUGGCGAACGGGUGAGUAACACGUGGGUGAUCUGCCCUGCACUUCGGGAUAAGCCUGGGAAACUGGGUCUAAUACCGGAUAGGAGCCAUUUUUAGUGUGAUGGUUGGAAAGUUUUUUCGGUGUAGGAUGAGCUCGCGGCCUAUCAGCUUGUUGGUGGGGUAAUGGCCUACCAAGGCGGCGACGGGUAGCCGGCCUGAGAGGGUGGACGGCCACAUUGGGACUGAGAUACGGCCCAGACUCCUACGGGAGGCAGCAGUGGGGAAUAUUGCACAAUGGGCGCAAGCCUGAUGCAGCGACGCCGCGUGGGGGAUGACGGCCUUCGGGUUGUAAACUCCUUUCGCUAGGGACGAAGCUUUUUGUGACGGUACCUAGUUAAGAAGCACCGGCUAACUACGUGCCAGCAGCCGCGGUAAUACGUAGGGUGCGAGCGUUGUCCGGAAUUACUGGGCGUAAAGGGCUCGUAGGUGGUUUGUCGCGUCGUCUGUGAAAUUCCGGGGCUUAACUCCGGGCGUGCAGGCGAUACGGGCAUAACUUGAGUACUGUAGGGGUAACUGGAAUUCCUGGUGUAGCGGUGAAAUGCGCAGAUAUCAGGAGGAACACCGA